rnacentral:hammerhead_ribozyme from 1 species
AUCCAGCUGACGAGUCCCAAAUAGGUCGAGACGCGCCUGCUGGAU